rnacentral:rRNA from 1 species
CCGCCGCCCCCGCCCGUGGCGGACGGGUGAGUAACGCGUGGGGAACCUGCCUCUGACCGGGGGAUAGCAGCUGGAAACGGCUGGUAAUACCGCAUAAGCGCACAGCUCCGCAUGGAGCGGUGUGAAAAACUCCGGUGGUCUGAGAUGGACCCGCGUCUGAUUAGCCAGUUGGCGGGGUAACGGCCCACCAAAGCGACGAUCAGUAGCCGGCCUGAGAGGGCGGACGGCCACAUUGGGACUGAGACACGGCCCAGACUCCUACGGGAGGCAGCAGUGGGGGAUAUUGCACAAUGGAGGAAACUCUGAUGCAGCGACGCCGCGUGAGUGAAGAAGUACUUCGGUAUGUAAAGCUCUGUCAGCAGGGAAGAAAGGCCCCGCAAGGGGAGAUGACGGUACCUGAAGAAAAAGCCCCGGCUAAUUACGUGCCAGCAGCCGCGGUAAUACG